GAUUNUUGGGCGUAAGCGAGCGCAGGCGGUCUUUUAAGUCUAAUGUGAAAGCCUUCGGCUCAACCGAAGAAGUGCAUUGGAAACUGGGAGACUUGAGUGCAGAAGAGGACAGUGGAACUCCAUGUGUAGCGGUGAAAUGCGUAGAUAUAUGGAAGAACACCAGUGGCGAAGGCGGCUGUCUGGUCUGCAACUGACGCUGAGGCUCGAAAGCAUGGGUAGCGAACAGGAUUAGAUACCCUGGUAGUCCAUGCCGUAAACGAUGAUUACUAAGUGUUGGAGGGUUUCCGCCCUUCAGUGCUGCAGCUAACGCAUUAAGUAAUCCGCCUGGGGAGUACGACCGCAAGGUUGAAACUCAAAAGAAUUGACGGGGGCCCGCACAAGCGGUGGAGCAUGUGGUUUAAUUCGAAGCUACGCGAAGAACCUUACCAGGUCUUGACAUCUUCUGACAGUCUAAGAGAUUAGAGGUUCCCUUCGGGGACAGAAUGACAGGUGGUGCAUGGUUGUCGUCAGCUCGUGUCGUGAGAUGUUGGGUUAAGUCCCGCAACGAGCGCAACCCUUAUUACUAGUUGCCAGCAUUAAGUUGGGCACUCUAGUGAGACUGCCGGUGACAAACCGGAGGAAGGUGGGGACGACGUCAAAUCAUCAUGCCCCUUAUGACCUGGGCUACACACGUGCUACAAUGGAUGGUACAACGAGUCGCGAGACCGCGAGGUUAAGCUAAUCUCUUAAAACCAUUCUCAGUUCGGACUGUAGGCUGCAACUCGCCUACACGAAGUCGGAAUCGCUAGUAAUCGCGGAUCAGCAUGCCGCGGUGAAUACGUUCCCGGGCCUUGUACACACCGCCCGUCACACCAUGAGAGUUUGUAACACCCAAAGCCGGUGGGGUAACCUUUUAGGAGCUAGCCGUCUAANGUGGGACAGAUGAUUANGGUGAAGUCNUANNGG
rnacentral:rRNA from 1 species